AGAAAGAAGGCCUCUCUUUGAAGCUUUCGCUACUAGAUGAGCCCUGCGUAAGAUUAGCUUGUUGGUGAGGUAAAGGCUCACCAAGGCAACGAUCUUUAGCUGGUCUGAGAGGACGAUCAGCCACAUUGGGACUGAGACACGGCCCCAGACUCCUUACGGGAGGCAGCAGUGGGGAAUAUUGGACAAUGGGCGCAAGCCUGAUCCAGCCAUACCGCGUGUGUGAAGAAGGCCUUCGGGUUGUAAAGCACUUUAAGCAGGGAGAAAAAGUUAUAAGCUAAUACCUUAUAACCCUUGAUGUUACCUGCAGAAUAAGCACCGGCUAAUUCCGUGCCAGCAGCCGCGGUAAUACGGAAGGUGCAAGCGUUAAUCGGAAUUACUGGGCGUAAAGCGCGCGUAGGUGGUUUGUUAAGUUGGAUGUGAAAGCCCUGGGCUCAACCUAGGAACUGCAUCCAAAACUAACUCACUAGAGUACGAUAGAGGGAGGUAGAAUUCAUAGUGUAGCGGUGGAAUGCGUAGAUAUUAUGAAGAAUACCAGUGGCGAAGGCGGCCUCCUGGAUCUGUACUGACACUGAGGUGCGAAAGCGUGGGUAGCGAACAGGAUUAGAUACCCUGGUAGUCCACGCCGUAAACGAUGACAACUAGCUGUUAGGAGACUAUGUCUUUUAGUGGCGCAGCUAACGUUUUAAGUUGUCCGCUGGGGAGUACGGCGCA
rnacentral:rRNA from 1 species